rnacentral:rRNA from 1 species
AUUGAACGCUGGCGGCAUGCCUUACACAUGCAAGUCGAACGGCAGCGGGCCUUCGGGUGCCGGCGAGUGGCGAACGGGUGAGUAAUGCAUCGGAACGUGCCAUUGAGUGGGGGAUAACGUAGCGAAAGUUGCGCUAAUACCGCAUAUUCUGUGAGCAGGAAAGCAGGGGACCGCAAGGCCUUGCGCUCUUUGAGCGGCCGAUGUCAGAUUAGCUAGUUGGUGAGGUAAAGGCUUACCAAGGCGACGAUCUGUAGCGGGUCUGAGAGGAUGAUCCGCCACACUGGAACUGAGACACGGUCCAGACUCCUACGGGAGGCAGCAGUGGGGAAUUUUGGACAAUGGGGGCAACCCUGAUCCAGCCAUGCCGCGUGAGUGAAGAAGGCCUGGUUGU